rnacentral:rRNA from 1 species
AUUGAACGCUGGCGGCAGGCCUAACACAUGCAAGUCGAGCGGAUGAAGAGAGCUUGCUCUCUGAUUCAGCGGCGGACGGGUGAGUAAUGCCUAGGAAUCUGCCUGAUAGUGGGGGACAACGUUUCGAAAGGAACGCUAAUACCGCAUACGUCCUACGGGAGAAAGCAGGGGACCUUCGGGCCUUGCGCUAUCAGAUGAGCCUAGGUCGGAUUAGCUAGUUGGUGAGGUAAUGGCUCACCAAGGCGACGAUCCGUAACUGGUCUGAGAGGAUGAUCAGUCACACUGGAACUGAGACACGGUCCAGACUCCUACGGGAGGCAGCAGUGGGGAAUAUUGGACAAUGGGCGAAAGCCUGAUCCAGCCAUGCCGCGUGUGUGAAGAAGGUCUUCGGAUUGUAAAGCACUUUAAGUUGGGAGGAAGGGCAGUAAGUUAAUACCUUGCUGUUUUGACGUUACCGACAGAAUAAGCACCGGCUAACUCUGUGCCAGCCGCCGCCGUAAAAC